GAGAUUAAAGAUUUAUCGGUGAUGGAUGGGGAUGCGUCUGAUUAGCUUGUUGGCGGGGUAACGGCCCACCAAGGCGACGAUCAGUAGGGGUUCUGAGAGGAAGGUCCCCCACAUUGGAACUGAGACACGGUCCAAACUCCUACGGGAGGCAGCAGUGAGGAAUAUUGGUCAAUGGACGAGAGUCUGAACCAGCCAAGUAGCGUGCAGGAAGACGGCCCUAUGGGUUGUAAACUGCUUUUAUAAGGGAAUAAAGUGAGUCUCGUGAGACUUUUUGCAUGUACCUUAUGAAUAAGGACCGGCUAAUUCCGUGCCAGCAGCCGCGGUAAUACGGAAGGUCCGGGCGUUAUCCGGAUUUAUUGGGUUUAAAGGGAGCGUAGGCCGGAGAUUAAGCGUGUUGUGAAAUGUAGACGCUCAACGUCUGCACUGCAGCGCGAACUGGUCUUCUUGAGUACGCACAACGUGGGCGGAAUUCGUGGUGUAGCGGUGAAAUGCUUAGAUAUCACGAAGAACUCCGAUUGCGAAGGCAGCUCACGGGAGCGCAACUGACGCUGAAGCUCGAAAGUGCGGGUAUCGAACAGGAUUAGAUACCCUGGUAGUCCGCACGGUAAACGAUGGAUGCCCGCUGUUGGCCUGAAUAGGUCAGCGGCCAAGCGAAAGCAUUAAGCAUCCCACCUGGGGAGUACGCCGGCAACGGUGAAACUCAAAGGAAUUGACGGGGG
rnacentral:rRNA from 1 species